UCAAGCAACUAAGCGCAUACGGUGGAUGCCUUGGCAGUCAGAGGCGAUGAAAGACGUGGAAGCCUGCGAUAAGGCUCGGGGAGCUGGCAAACAAGCUGUGAUCCGGGCAUCUCUGAAUGGGGAAACCCACCGGUCUUCGGACCGGUACCGUACGGUGAAUACAUAGCCGUACGGGGCGAACUCGGGGAACUGAAACAUCUAAGUACCCGAAGGAAAAGAAAUCAACCGAGAUUCCCUCAGUAGCGGCGAGCGAACGGGGACCAGCCCUUAAGCUGGACAACUGGUAGGAGAAGGCCCUGGAAAGAGCCGCCAUAGUGGGUGAUAGCCCCGUAUCCGAAACCUGAGUCCAGUGAAAUCGAGUAGGACGGGACACGAGACAUCCUGUCUGAACAUGGGGGGACCAUCCUCCAAGGCUAAAUACUCCUGACUGACCGAUAGUGAACCAGUACCGUGAGGGAAAGGCGAAAAGAACCCCUGUGAGGGGAGUGAAAUAGAUCCUGAAACCGUAUGCGUACAAGCAGUCGGAGCGGACUUGUUCCGUGACGGCGUACCUUUUGUAUAAUGGGUCAGCGACUUAUGUUCAGUGGCGAGGUUAACCGUUUAGGGGAGCCGUAGGGAAACCGAGUCUGAAUAGGGCGAUUUAGUCGCUGGGCAUAGACCCGAAACCGGGCGAUCUAUCCAUGAGCAGGUUGAAGGUUGAGUAACAUCAACUGGAGGACCGAACCCACUGUCGUUGAAAAGCCAGGGGAUGACUUGUGGAUCGGAGUGAAAGGCUAAUCAAGCCCGGAGAUAGCUGGUUCUCCCCGAAAGCUAUUUAGGUAGCGCCUCGGACGAAUACCACAGGGGGUAGAGCACUGUUUCGGCUAGGGGGUCAUCCCGACUUACCAACCCGAUGCAAACUCCGAAUACCUGUGAGUACUAUCCGGGAGACACACGGUGGGUGCUAACGUCCAUCGUGAAGAGGGAAACAACCCAGACCGCCAGCUAAGGUCCCCAAAUACCAGUUAAGUGGGAAACGAUGUGGGAAGGCUCAGACAGCUAGGAGGUUGGCUUAGAAGCAGCCAUCCUUUAAAGAAAGCGUAAUAGCUCACUAGUCGAGUCGGCCUGCGCGGAAGAUGUAACGGGGCUCAAACUGGUUACCGAAGCUGCGGCUGUGCACGCAAGUGCACGGGGUAGGGGAGCGUUCUGUAAGCCUGCGAAGGUGUGUCGAGAGGCAUGCUGGAGGUAUCAGAAGUGCGAAUGCUGACAUGAGUAACGACAAUGGGGGUGAAAAACCCCCACGCCGGAAGACCAAGGGUUCCUGCGCAACGCUAAUCGGCGCAGGGUGAGUCGGCCCCUAAGGCGAGACCGAAAGGUGUAGUCGAUGGGAAACGGAUUAAUAUUUCCGUACCUUGGAUAGCUGCGAUGGAGAGACGGAGAAGGCUAGGUGAGCCGGGCGACGGUUGUCCCGGUUUAAGCAUGUAGGCAGUGGGAUUAGGCAAAUCCGGUCCCACAAUGCCGAGACGCGACGACGACUGCCCUUUUAGGGCGGGAAGUCAUUGAUGCCCUGCUUCCAGGAAAAUCUUCUAAGCUUCAGGCUAUUCGAGACCGUACCCCAAACCGACACAGGUGGUCAGGUAGAGAAUACCAAGGCGCUUGAGAGAACUCGGGUAAAGGAACUAGGCAAAAUGGUGCCGUAACUUCGGGAGAAGGCACGCCGGUGGUAUGUGACGCCCUUCGCGGGUUGAGCAGAAGCCGGUCGAAGAUACCAGGCCCCUGCGACUGUUUAUUAAAAACACAGCACUGUGCAAACACGAAAGUGGACGUAUACGGUGUGACGCCUGCCCGGUGCCGGAAGGUUAAUUGAUGGGGUUAGCGCUUGCGCGAAGCUCUUGAUCGAAGCCCCGGUAAACGGCGGCCGUAACGAUAACGGUCCUAAGGUAGCGAAAUUCC
rnacentral:rRNA from 12 species